UAUUGCUUUGGAAACGAUCAGUGAAACUGCAUGUUGUUGCAGGUAUGCCUUCAUAUUUUAUUCUUUACAGUCCUAGGCGACUGGAGUGCCAAAAAGGAGUUUGAAAAGCCAAGACCGUGGUCCCAGCUCAGACACUGAUUCAGCUAGCUCAGUGUUUUUGAUUCCUCUGCUGUAGGUCCAAUAUUUGUGAUUUGGGACAAUAAUUGUUGUCUCAAAAGGAGUCCUGUGAGGAAUAUUUGUUUGUAGUUUUUUAGCAGUUCAGUCAAAUAUUACUCCCUGAGCCCAGCUAUCAAGAUUUCAAGCACAGACAGGCAGAGAUAGGCAGAAAGACAGAUGUUUGCCAUUUGGGCACUUUCUUUUCUUCUGUUCACCUAAUUGAAAUCUCACCAGCUCCUCAUUCUUCUAUAAUCGCGUAACAGCUCUAAAACUAGCAGCCUGCUGAAGGAGAAAUGUUGCUGUUCCACAUAUUCAAAACACUGCUGUAAAACAGGAGUGUUACUCUCACACCUCACAGUUGUUCAUCCUUUCUACCUCUACCAUCAGAAAGAAAAAACAACUGUUGGAGUUAUCACCCCUCUGACUGUAUUACCAUUGGAUAACCCAUCCUUGCUUCAAAAUUGUAUCUCCCACUCUGAAGAAGAAAAGUCUUUCAGCCAGGAAGUCCUUGUGCCCUCAGUGCCAUUACCCUGCAGGAGUAAUGCCCAAUCGCCAGUCCUUGGCCGCUGAAACAACUGUGAUGCUUAAGUGACUCUAUAGGUGCACAGGAGGAAGUCAGCUAUAGAAGAUGAGGACAAAAUAUCUCUGGGAACCUGGUCGCCACACAGGGACUGGAGCACUUCAAAAGAGCUAAGUAUCAGUCCAGUAGUGCAUCUCAAGAAAGAAAAUACUCUGAAUAGCAGAAAUCUCAGAGCCAGCUGGUAGUAAGUGAUACUGUUUGGCUCAGAUCUCAAUCUGUCGGGUAGGAUAGCAGCUGAGGCUGGCAGAACCUUUCCUGUUUCAGCCUAGAAUAUUUUAGACAACAAAAGAACAUAGGUUUCCUCCAUCUGAUCUCUUCUCAAGAGAGCAUAGAGGAAGGCUGGAUUUGGAUGUGUGCUCACAGACUAGAUAUAUUGCACUUGAUAGAAAGGCUGAAAAUUUCCCUGCAGAAACUUAACUGUCAAACUGGCAUUGACCAGGCAGGAUGAGCACAGAGAUCCCAGUCGCAUCUUCUCUGACCUUACUGUUUGCUACUGGAAUUGAAACAGAAUUGAGAAGCUAAUCGUAUGUCAUGCCUGGGGACUGCAGAAAUAAGGGCAAACAUCUGAUUGAGCUCUAUCUAGCAUUUAGUUUCCCUUUGAUUGCCUUAGUCCCUCUCUUCUGAUCUCCAAUCUACUGCCCAUUUCCCAAGCCUGACACCAGCUGGCUUUAACUGAAGCCAUUUAGCUUGUUAUGUUUAUGGAUUAAAAGGGUCAUUUCACAAUUGUCUGCAGAAAAUAUCAACAUAAAAGCCAUGUCCAGGCUGCCGAAGCUCAUUGCAGACCUCUGUGCUGCCUCUGAGCCUAGCUCCUUAGGACAACCAGGAUGCCAGGAUCACCGCAGGAAUGCCAGCAGUGGGGCAUCACCACAGCACAAUGACCUGAACAACUUAGAACAAGAAUGGUCCCAGAUCUCUCAUACUUUGAAACAAAUGGGAAUUUCAACUUUUAAGUGUUUGGAGUUUUUUAAUCCAGUUUCAUUAAAGUGUAUCAAGACUUAGCCAUGUAUUUUUGUUGCUCAUCUCUGCUGUGCAAGGCACAGCAAGUUUGUUCUUCUGUGCUUGCAGCUCCACUGGCCAGUGAAGCCCUGCACAAUAAAUUCACUGUUUUCGUGGC
ensembl:lncRNA uncharacterized LOC115607957